rnacentral:misc_RNA from 1 species
AGCAGCCGCGGUAAUUCCAGCUCCAAUAGCGUAUAUUAAAGUUGUUGCAGUUAAAAAGCUCGUAGUUGAAUUUCGGGAUCAAUAUGUUGGUCGUGCCUCGGUACGUACUAGCUUAUUGGUUUCUCCUUUCUGAAGAACCAUGAUGUCAUUUAUUUGGUGUCGUGGGGAAUCAGGACUGUUACUUUGAAAAAUUAGAGUGUUUAAAGCAGGCUCACGCUUGAAUACAUUAGCAUGGAAUAACGAAAUAGGACGUUUGAUUCUAUUUUGUUGGUUUCUAGGAUCGACGUAAUGAUUAAUAGGGAUAGUUGGGGGCGAUUAGUAUUUCAAUUGUCAGAGGUGAAAUUCUUGGAUUUAUUGAAGACUAACUACUGCGAAAGCAUUUGCCAAGGAUGUUUUCAUUAAUCAAGAACGAAAGUUAGGGGAUCGAAGACGAUCAGAUACCGUCGUAGUCUUAACCAUAAACUAUGCCGACUAGGGAUCGGAUGAUGUUGAUUUUUU